rnacentral:rRNA from 1 species
GACGAACGCUGGCGGCGUGCUUAACACAUGCAAGUCGAACGGAAAGGCCCUUCUUUUGUGGGGUGCUCGAGUGGCGAACGGGUGAGUAACACGUGAGUAACCUUCCCUUUACUUUUGGAUAACUUCAGGAAACUGGGGCUCAUACCGGAUAGGAGCUCCUGCUGCAUGGUGGGGGUUGGAAAGUUUCGUCGGGGUGGGAUGGACUCGGGGCUUAUCAGCUUGUUGGUGGGGUAGUGGCUUAGCAAGGCUGUGACGGGUAGCCGGCCUGGGAGGGUGACCGGCGACAAUGGGACUGAGAGACGGCCCAGACUGCUACGGGAGGCAGCAGUGGGGAAUAGUGCACAAUGGGCGGAAGCCUGAGGCAGCAACGCCGCGGGCGGGAUGAAGGCCUUAGGGUUGUAAACCGCUUACAGCAGGGGCGAAGCGUGUGGUGACGGUACCUGCAGAAGAAGAACCGGCUAACUACGUG